ACUGUGCCCAUGAUGGUGUGGAUUUUUCCCCUUUAAUGUCACUGCUGAGAACACAUCUGUAUGGGUAGUUGCUACUACCCGCUGUCAAGUUAGGAGUUUAGUGGUGUUUGGUACAACUUCUGGGCACAGUGGGUGUUGGGGUUAGCUUUUCGGCAGGUGCCCCAUUAAGCAGAUGGUGCUCCACUGCACUAAGGAAAGAUGUAGUUUUGCCCAAGAAGAACUACUGCACUGUCAGCAGCAGAUCAAAGGGAGGUUCAUUCCAAGCCACUCCAGACCAGAAAUUGUAGUGGGGACAGUCUACAGGAGACCAGAGGGAGGGAGACCACAGAGAAUCACCCUGUCACACUUGAGUCAUUGGCUGGGUGCAGCUGCUUGUCAUGCCAGUGUCCGUCCAAGUCGGGCCCCCUCUGCGUGUCGUCACCAUAAAAGGUAGAGAUGUGACAUGAAUGCAUUGUGUGUGGGAAGCUUGUUGUUACUGAUCAUCCCCCUGGCAGAGGAGUGAGUAGACCCCACAGGUUGGCAUAAAGACAAACCCUAGGGAGGGUCUUGAAAGGAAAGUAACUGUUUACUUCUCCCAUCUUUUCUCCCUGUUACCUCCUAACUCAGGUGGAAAACCCACGCCAUCUGGGAACACUAAGAAGGCACAAUAAUAUCAUCCUGUAGCUUCCACAGAGUUACAUGAGCAAAGACUCAGGGGCCAGCAGAAAAUGAAGAAGCCGAUUGAGGCAGGAUCUGUGUCCGUGGGGGAUGUUUUGGGUUGCCCUAGAAGAGGGGGUGGUGGUGGUGGUGGAGGGUGGCUCAUGUCUUUCCCAGCACUAAUUUACACUCAGUUUCCGGGUUUGAGGCUCAUCAUCAAUAGGGAGGUUCCUGAGAUCCAGUCUAAACUCAGAGGAUCUUUGUGUUCAUAGAGAGCCCUGCGGGUUCUUUGCUGAGGAGACGUUUGGUGUGCUGACAGUGUCCUGCAUCAGAUGGGUGUUGGAUGACCCGGUUUCGUUUUACAUCUGCUAAUAGUGCAUAUGGAUCUCUUUCUCUCUCCUUGACAUUUUUAGAGAGAAAGGAGCCUUGAUGGGGUCCUCUUCUUGAUGCUACCUUACGUUGUGGCCUGACACAGUUUCCUAACAUUGCCGGACCCAAUUCCUCUUAAAAACAUGAGGGGUUCAUUUACAGUGGUUCAGCCCAGCUGCACAUCGGGCACCCAGGAAGAUUUCGAACAUACUGACAUGCAGGCUGCACUUCAGAGCAAUUACGUAAGAGGAAGGAGGAAAGCUGGUCCUGUCCCGCUGAGCUGAUUUCACAAUGCUUAAUGGACGAUACCUGUGGUAAAAACGAGACCCAAAUCCUGGUGGAGAGGAAAGAGCUUGGAGGGCCGUUGGAGCAGCGUGCCCAGCAGAGCUCCCGUGGUGGUGGGCACCGUCUGUUCAGCACUGCUGUCCAAUGUGGGGACUGCUGGCCCAGGUGGCUGUUGAGCAGGAUGUGGCUAGUGCGAAUGAAGAACUGAAUUUUACAUUUCAUUCCAUUUCAAUGCAUUUCAAUUUAAGUAGCCACACGUGUGGCUCAGGCGAAGCUGAACCUUAAAUUGUGUUCGGUUUUCAUUAAUUUAAAUGUAAGUAGCUGCCUGUG